UGGUAAUGCCGGAUGCUCCAGUUGACCGCAUGGUCCUCUGGGAAAGCUUUUGCGGUAUGGGAUGGGGUCGCGUCCUAUCAGCUUGAUGGCGGGGUAACGGCCCACCAUGGCUUCGACGGGUAGCCGGCCUGAGAGGGCGACCGGCCACAUUGGGACUGAGAUACGGCCCAGACUCCUACGGGAGGCAGCAGUGGGGAAUAUUGCACAAUGGGCGCAAGCCUGAUGCAGCGACGCCGCGUGCGGGAUGACGGCCUUCGGGUUGUAAACCGCUUUUGACUGGGAGCAAGCCCUUCGGGGUGAGUGUACCUUUCGAAUAAGCACCGGCUAACUACGUGCCAGCAGCCGCGGUAAUACGUAGGGUGCAAGCGUUAUCCGGAAUUAUUGGGCGUAAAGGGCUCGUAGGCGGUUCGUCGCGUCCGGUGUGAAAGUCCAUCGCUUAACGGUGGAUCCGCGCCGGGUACGGGCGGGCUUGAGUGCGGUAGGGGAGACUGGAAUUCCCGGUGUAACGGUGGAAUGUGUAGAUAUC
rnacentral:rRNA from 1 species